GGGCCCGCACAAGCGGUGGAGCAUGUGGUUUAAUUCGAUGCAACGCGAAGAACCUUACCAGGGCUUGACAUACUACGAAUCCUUCUGAGAAGAAGGAGUGCCUUCGGGAAUGUAGAUACAGGUGGUGCAUGGCUGUCGUCAGCUCGUGUCGUGAGAUGUUGGGUUAAGUCCCGCAACGAGCGCAACCCUUAUUUUUAGUUACCAACUUGUUGGGUUCUCUAGAAAGACUGCCGGUGACAAACCGGAGGAAGGUGAGGAUGACGUCAAGUCAGCAUGCCCCUUAUGUCCUGGGCUACACACGUGCUACAAUGGCUAAGACAAAGAGUCGCGAGCUUGCAAAAGUCAGCUAAUCUCAUAAACUUAGCCUAAGUUCAGAUUGUAGGCUGCAACUCGCCUACAUG
rnacentral:rRNA from 1 species